UAUUCUCAAACAAAAAUCUCACAUUUGAUUCCUAUCAGUGCUGCCAGGAUCAGAAAAAGAUUCCCGACUUGGCGUGUAAUAGUUGUGUGAAUUGCUUCAACUAGUGAAGACAUAUACGGAUACAACAUACAAACAAACAACCAAUCGAGUAGUUUAUCCUCAUCUCGUGUGACUUAGGUAGUCUCUCAAAUAUUAUCGACGCCAUCUCCAAAUGUUGAAAGAGAAAAGGGGGCAAUUACCACGUUGAAUGUUCGACCACUUAGUUUAUCGACAUGCUCCAUCUCAUAGUCACCCUCC
rnacentral:lncRNA from 1 species